UUGAAGCAGGUUUGGUUGCACCCCGCCGGCGGCCCGGACCACAGGUUGCUGUUGUGCUGGUUGACGGGGAGGCGCCCCCGCCCCGUCGAGACCAAGGGCCAGAGCUGGGCGCGGCGCUGGUUGAAGCAGGUUUCCUUGCACCCAGGAGCGCAGGAGCGCAGGUUUUACUGGUCCUGGUGACGACCCGCGUAACCUGAUGACAUAUAACUGUGGUGCCGCGUUGCGUUGUCCGAAAGGUUGACGCAGCAAGGGUGCUUGACCGCCGGCUUGAGGCAAAGGUAGGCGGGGCUGAGGCGCGUGGAGCGGAAGGCGUGGUUGGGGUAUUUGCUGUGUUUGAAUUCUGGUGUCUUGGACAUGAAAAUCAAGAUCAUCUCCUUGGUCCUGAAAAUCAUGAUCAUCUGCGGCGUCGGGCGGGGGAAACGCCUGGGGUGCGGAUGACGGGCCGGCUUCCAUGAGGUCUCGGUCAGAUGGCCGAAUCCUAGGUAUGUGUUAGAUGGUGUGGACGUGGGCCUGUUCACUACAAAGGCCCUAGGCGGAUUUUCCCUCUCUGCCUUAUUGGCCUCAUCCAUUGAAAUUUCAGGUAUUUCGACAAAUCCCCUGCCCUCAUCCACAAACAAGGCGCCUGGCUAAGUGCCUCGUUCACCCCAAAAUCGUCAGUAUCUUCCAGCUGCAUAGAAAAAAUCAGUUAGUAAAAAGUAACUUUUCUAUAACUAAAACCUCUUCUCUCACACCCUUUCAUCCGCUUUCAUCAAUUUUUUCGCUAACACUCACCGGAGCGGAUUCUGUUGCCAUCGAGUGUGUAGAGCUCUGAGAGGCAUCGUCAUCAUCAUCAUGGAGCACAAAAGACGAGUCCACAUUUCGUCACCAAGUAAAGCGUCCCGGAGAAAGGUGAGGUAAGGGGCGUAGGCGUACGUUGACCUCACGUCAUUGAGCGACAUUCCACUUGCUCCGGCGAUGCUAGCGCAGUUCUGCCAGAAAUUCUUCUUAAUUUUCGCCCACUCAGCGCGAGAAACGAAACCUGAACAGAGAAAGCAACAUGAAAUUUCAAUCACCGAUUUCUGGUUAGGCCUACCCCAACCAAAUAGCAUGCUGUCAAAUUUACUUACCCGCCUCUGGAGGAACAAAUUCCAGCCCUAUGCUAUUCCAAAUCUUUUCUUUUACAUCUCUUUCGCACAUCGCACUACUUUUUGGGUGAAACAGCUCUGGAUGCUUCGAAACUUUUGAUAUCAGAUUCAGAAUCCACGGGUCGGACAUGGUGACACGAUUUGACGGUUCAUCUGGUUGAUCUGAUCUGAUUCCCACUCCCACGACCGGAGCCGGAGGAAGACUGGGGUCGAUACCGGUACCGACCAGGGUUUGGUAAAUGAGAAAUGUUGAAAUGCAUUUCGACCGUCUAAAACGUCUGCACAACUAAGUGUGUGAUUCAAAUUUUGAAAAGCAAAUUUGAAUCCAACAAUUUUAAUCAUUAGGGUAAUGUUUUAUUUUUAUUGUGGAGGGUUGGGAAUGGACAACUUGCCCGCAGAGUGGCGGAGCGUGGUGGGAAACAAAACAAAUCAACAUAACGUCAGAGAAAUAAAAUUCUUUCAAUCGUGGUUUUAGUUUUUUUCGAGGGGGAAAUCACUUGCGAAAUAGUUCGUACACCUUUUCCCGAAAGAGUCCGAAACAUAGGCGAAAUAGAGCGAAAUAGACCCGAAAUAGACGCGAAAUAGUCGGUGAAAUAGUCAAAAAAUACCCCUGAAAUACUCCGAAAUACCGCGAAAUACCGCGAAAUACCCUGAAAUAAUCCGAAAUAGGCGAGAAAUAACCGAAAUGGCAGGAGAAAUACCCGAGAAAUACCAGAAAUAGUCCGUACGCUACGGACCCAAGUGAUUUCCCCCUCCGUUCUUUUCUCGAUAUGCCAUGUGAAUGCAUAGUGUCUACGAAGAAUACACAUUAAUUGAAGCCAUGAAGCCAUGUCCAAUUCUUCUUUCUGGCCGUAUAGUGUAGUUUUCGUGUAGUGCUUUCGUUAUGUUUGUGCGUUUGAAUUCCUUGGAGGGGAUUUGUUUCUGUUCGACGUGUUUGACUCUUAUAAAUAUUCUGUACAAACGCCGUGUAUUUUUGCUUCAUUUCCGCCCAUUUUCGAAAAUUUUUAAUGAGAGAGGUCCGCCGCGCUACUUUGAAUGUAAGUUACGGCACUCAUUUGUUUCUGCCCGUGAGGCUGAUAGUGUUUUGUUCGGCGCGGCUGCUGCUCCCCUGAAUAGGAACGUACCUGAGGCGAGCCGACUCGCCUCAGUGAGGCGUCUCGCCUCAGGAGACUAAAUCCACCAUAAGAGUUUAGUUAGUUAUGCCCAUAGAACUCCUAUGUUUUCAGGACUUAAUUGAAUCUAUACAUCUUGUAAAGGUGAAUUCAGGGCGAGGGGGAAAUCACUUGCGAAAUAGUUCGUACACCUCUCCCCGAAAUAGUCCGAAACAAAUGCGAAAUAGAGCGAAAUAGACCCGAAAUAGACGCGAAAUAGUCUGUGAAAUAGUCAAAAAAUACCCCUGAAAUACUCCGAAAUACCGCGAAAUACCAAAAAUACCCUGGAAUAAUCCGAAAUAGGCGGGAAAUACCCGAGAAAUACCAGAAAUAGCCCGUACGCUACGGACCCAAGUGAUUUCCCCCUCGAUUCAGAGUUCCCUAAAAGGGAGCGUGAUUCUCACGCAAAGCGUGAUUUUCACGCCCGGCGUGAUGAAAGUCGAUCCCUGAUUGGCUGCGUGAAGCUUACGCCUGGCGUGAAAAUAACGCUUGUGUUACGUGAACUCUGAAUCCACACUAAUAGUUGAAAACUUUGCUCGCCAUAAAUCUUGUAGUUUAUAAUAUUAUUCUUUUCUUACAAUCAAGAAGGGGUUAUUACCCCACGCACCUACCAACUCCCAUACUCUGGAGUUGUUUACAGAUAAGGUGAUAACUCUACUUAAAUGAAUGAAAUUAUUGGUGAACUUGAGGUUUCACCUUUUUUCCAGGCAUUGACAGGUAAUUGUUCUUUUGCAGUUGCGGGGGUGCAGUAAUCACCCAUGCCCCAACUCCUAUUCUGUGGAAUAACAAAAAAAAAGGUGAUAAAUUUACUUAUAUGAAUAGAGUUACUAGUGGUUAUAGUUGUUUCAACUUUUCUGUUUGACAUUGACAGACAUGGCGGUGAGAAUGUGAAAUAAUCUCUGAUUUUGUGCCAGUCUUUAGAGCCCCCGCAUCAACAUUGCAGAACGGUCUCUCAACAGUAUGUUAUCUGGAGGGGGGUGUCCUUCUAGGCAUUGUUUCAUCUAAACUGAUUUGGUUUUGGCUUUGGGAAUUUUAAACAAUAUUAAAAGAAUCGCUGCUGGUCGAAGGCUGAUAGUAUGUGUGCUUCUAAAAUAAAAGGUGAGCAAGAUCAUUUUAGUCAUAUGAAUAUUUUCUCUCUUGGCGUACGUCUGUAUUGUAUGAUCUUGUCAGUAUUUGAUCAACUUUUACUUUUGUUACUGAUUUGGACCGAGCGCUGCUCUCACGCUCGUCUACUUCAUGAACCAGUCGACAGGGUAAUAGAAAGUAUAAUAGAAAAUAUUUCAGCAUCCUAUGACUCUUGCCCUCACUCAGCUACAGUUGGCUCAUGUAGGCCCCAAUGGGCCUCACUACAUAAUGCCUGCCGUACCUCAAGUGCCCCCGCCUGGAGUGGUCUAUCCUCUAAUGCAACCCGACCAUCCUUACCAUUUUGAAGAUCUGGCUGGUUUGUUAGGUGCCCUGGAGCUUCCCGUGCCUCCGGCUCCGGCCCCUGUUGUGCCUGUGGCUCCUGUAAUGGUUGUGGACUUAGUAUCAGACGAUGAGGACAUUGCUCAUGGUGCUGCAGCUACCCCUGCUGCUGUGCAUCGAGCUCGCCGUCAUUUACGUCGCCGUAGUGAGUUUUCUUGCUUUUUCUUUUGUCUCAUGUCCUUGUCUUCUUUGUCUGUUUUCCUCCAAUGUUUUUUUCUUUUCUUCUUACAGACUGAUUUGAUGUCUUACCAUUUCCCCUUGUACCUUUACGAGAGGUUAGUGCUUUUCGUUUUCUCUUUAGUUGUUUCUUGUUUUAAUUGUAUUCUAAUUUUGUUGUGUCAUUUCAGGUUACUUAUUUAUUUUACUUUGAUUUCAUGGACUACGUCCUUUUUAACCUUCGAUGCAUUCUUAUGUUUAACUUAUGGGCUAUGGUCCACUUUAAUUUGAUUCCUGCUUGUUUUUAACCUGUGGACUACGUUCCAUUUUUAAUUUGAUUUGUGCAUGCUUCAACUCGUAGACUACGUUCUUUUCAAACGUCAAUUCUUCUCCCUUUUGUAUAUGGACUUUGUUCUUUUAAUUGAUUGCAUCCUUUUUGUUUGUUUUUUAUUUUUUGUAUCUAAUGCCUCCUUGCGAGUUGCAUUUGUGAUUUUUGUUUCUUUGUCCUAUGGUGUAUAUUACACUCGUUUGAUCACUUUUGGUGUUUGAAUUGACACUCCCUUAAUUCAUUUGUCACUUUAUUUAACUCUUUGAGUAUGAUCGCUACUAAUUUUGCCACUUUACACUUUGUUACAUAAUUUCAUAGGUCGCACAACUUAACUUUGCUCCAAUUAACAGUGAUAUUUAAACAAAUUUUAGUAUACUUAGCACCAUGAUUUUACUUAGUUUAUCACGACAUUUUGUUGGGGCAAUUCUUGGCGUUAUGGUACCGCUGUCUACAUUUUCUGCACCUGACUUCCUUCGUAGGAUCGUCUGGAUGCCACUUUAGAGUAUUUUUUAUGGUAUCACGCUCCUAGUAGAUUUUGUCCAUCCACUCUUGCCUAGCACUUGAUUUAGUUUCUCUGGUAAUCCUUACCAGUUUGUAUGGCAUGUCCAGUUUUAAGCCUCCACAGAUAAGUUCUUUGUCCUUGCAUAACUUUAAUUUCUCUUCAAUUUCCAUGAUAGCUCCUUCUUCCUCCUCUAUCUUCUGAUCUAUUUUCCUUAUUUCUCCUAUUUCUGCUGUUUUCAUUGCACCCUCUUCCUGGGUUUUCUCCACAUCUAUCUUCUUCAUUUCUGCUUCCAAUUUCUCUAUUUCAGUGUUCAUUUCAUUCUGGUCACAAUCUUUCUCUGUCAUAUUUUUUCUGCUUCCGACUCAGAGUCUGUUAAAGCUAUCUCUGCAGCUAACUUUUCGGCUAGACAGCUCUCUUUUUGCUUAUCUUCUGAAGAUUGCUUAGGAUUGCUACAGAUUGCUAUAGAUUGCCAAAGAUUUGCGUAAGAUUGUCUAGAUUUUACCGCUAUUGCCGUGGAUUUUGCAGAUUGCCUGGGAUUUUUCAAGAUUUUGAUCAUUGUGCAAAGGUGUGAUUACUUCUGUGGCGAUCCUCUGUGAGAAGCUUGUAAUGGUAUUGGUAGUGCACGAAAUGCACUUUCACCUCACCAUUAACUCAGGCAAAUGGCAAACGAGUCCUAAAUGGCGAGUAAAAGUUUGAAGGAAGGGUAAUUGUGGAAUUAACUUCUGUCAUGAAGUUUCCCUUGGCGUAGGCGUUGAUGUCAUGCAAAUGAACAAAACCUUUGAUUUCCAUUACUGACCACUGUUUUCUAUGAACAUGCAGCCUUGCCGUGUUUUAAUUUGCACUGUUUUCUAAUAUUGUAUAUUUUCUUAUGUCCCUCAGGUUUUGUCGUAUCUGCGCUACUGGCACACCUGACUGUCUCCUAUGGUGCGGCCACAUAUAUUGUUCAAGGUGCAUCGACCUAUUGAUGAAACGGAACAGAAGAUGCCCCAGGUGUCUCGUUAGGUUUCGGACAGUAAGGAAGAUGAUUGUUGUUCAACAGCAGUGACAGUGAAUGAUAAUAAAUCCAAUGUUGUGUGUUCUUUAGGAUCUUGUGUGUUUUGUUAAUUGUUGUAAUUUACAGUCAGGAUAAGGCAGUUUGUCAGGAAUAAUACGAACGAUUCACUUUGAAUACUUUGAGUAUAUUAUCAGAACGUAAGCAAACGAUAUACACAACCACACAGCUUGAGAACUGUUGCAAGAGAGAAAGAGAGCCGGUACCGGACAUACAAGCCAUGGAGCUGGAGCGAGAGCAGCGCUAAGGUGGCGGCUACAGUAAUUAGAAAUGGCGACAAGGUUCUAGGCAAGGCAGAUAGAUGGCAGCACCUAAAAGGCAGAAGCAAGGGUGCAACAAACUAUGUACAUUUAAAUUGUAUAUUCCAACACCCUUCCUCAAUUUCAUAGUACACACUGUUUACAGAUAAUAUAUUACAAUUUUAACCUGAAAGAAAUACAAAUAAGUUUUACAAUGGUUAGCAAUCAGUCACACCUAAAUUGACCCUAUGUUUGCCGAAGGUAUCGAAAGUAAGACACUUCGUCAUUAUAUCAGCUUUCUGAUCCUGAGUCGGGAGAUAUUCUGCCGAAAUAACAUCUUUAGCAUACAAAUCUUUAACAAAAUUAUAUUUUACAUCGAUAUGUUUUAAA